rnacentral:rRNA from 1 species
UACGGGGGGGGCAAGCGUUGUUCGGAAUUACUGGGCGUAAAGGGCUCAUAGGCGGCCAACUAAGUCGGAUGUGAAAUCCCCAGGCUUAACCUGGGAAUUGCAUCCGAUACUGGAUGGCUUGAAUCCGGGAGAGGGAUGCGGAAUUCCAGGUGUAGCGGUGAAAUGCGUAGAUAUGACAUAGAACACCAAUUGCGAAGGCAGCUUACUACACAGUCAUUGACACUGAGGCACGAAAGCGUGGGGAUCAAACAGG